rnacentral:rRNA from 1 species
GAAGGGACCUAGCGUAGUUCGGAAUUACUGGGCUUAAAGAGUUCGUAGGUGGUUGAAAAAGUUAGUGGUGAAAUCCCAGAGCUUAACUCUGGAACUGCCAUUAAAACUUUUCAGCUAGAGUAUGAUAGAGGAAAGCAGAAUUUCUAGUGUAGAGGUGAAAUUCGUAGAUAUUAGAAAGAAUACCAAUUGCGAAGGCAGCUUUCUGGAUCAUUACUGACACUGAGGAACGAAAGCAUGGGUAGCGAAGAGGAUUAGAUACCCUCGUAGUCCAUGCCGUAAACGAUGUGUGUUAGACGUUGGAAAUUUAUUUUCAGUGUCGCAGCGAAAGCGUUAAACACACCGCCUGGGGAGUACGACCGCAAGGUUAAAACUCAAAUGAAUUGACGGGGACCCGCACAAGUAGUGGAGCAUGUGGUUUAAUUCGAAGAUACGCGCAGAACCUUACCAACACUUGACAUGUUCGUCGCGACUCUAAGAGAUUAGAGUUCGGUUCGGGCGGACGAAACACAGGUGCUGCAUGGCUGUCGUCAGCUCGUGUCGUGAGAUGUUGGGUUAAGUCCCGCAACGAGCGCAACCCUCACUUUUAGUUGCCAUCAUUUAGUUGGGCACUCUGAAAGAACUGCCAGUGAUAAGCUGGA